CCUACGGGUGGCUGCAGUGAGGAAUAUUGGUCAAUGGGCGAGAGCCUGAACCAGCCAAGUCGCGUGAGGGAAGACGGUCCUAUGGAUUGUAAACCUCUUUUGUCGGGGAGCAAAAAGGCCUUGUGAGGCCACAAGUGCGAGUACCCGAAGAAAAAGCAUCGGCUAACUCCGUGCCAGCAGCCGCGGUAAUACGGAGGGUGCGAGCGUUAUCCGGAUUUAUUGGGUUUAAAGGGAGCGUAGGCCGCAUGUCAAGCGUGCUGUGAAAUGUCCGGGCUCAACCCGGGCCUUGCAGCGCGAACUGGCGUGCUUGAGUCCGCGGAAAGCAGGCGGAAUUCGUCGUGUAGCGGUGAAAUGCUUAGAUAUGACGAAGAACCCCGAUUGCGAAGGCAGCUUGCUGCAGCGGAACUGACGCUGAUGCUCGAAAGCGCGGGUAUCGAACAGGAUUAGAUACCCCAGUAGUC
rnacentral:rRNA from 1 species